GACCACGUAGCUCAGUUGGAUAGAGCAGCAGUUUCCUAAACUGCAGGUCGCAAGUUCAAUCCUUGCCGUGGUCGCCA
rnacentral:tRNA from 1 species